AAAAAUAUUCGCUGCAAGCAGGGUUCGAACCUACGCGGGCAAUGCCCAUUGGAUUUCAAGUCCAACUCCUUAACCACUCGGACAUCGCAGCCCGU
ensembl:ncRNA F28F8.11 ncRNA